GUGCUUGCUUUGGUAGCACAUAUACUAAAAUUGGAAUGAUACAGAGAAUAUUAGCAUGGCCCCUGUGCAAGGAUGACAUGCAAAUUCAUGAAGCAUUCCAUACUGUU
rnacentral:snRNA from 1 species